rnacentral:tRNA from 1 species
GUAAAAGUAAGCUAACUUAAAGCUGUUGGGUCCAUACCCCAAGUAUAGAGUUUAUAAUUCCUCUCUUUUCCA